AGAGUUUGAUCAUGGCUCAGGAUGAACGCUGGCGGCGUGCUUAACACAUGCAAGUCGAACGAGAGAAGAUCGGUGCUUGCACUGAUCCGAUCGAGUGGCGGACGGGUGAGUAACGCGUGGGUAACCUGCCUCAUACAGGGGAAUAACAGUUGGAAACGGCUGCUAAAACCGCAUAAGCGCACAGUAUCGCAUGAUACAGUGUGAAAAACUCCGGUGGUAUGAGAUGGACCCGCGUCUGAUUAGCUAGUUGGUGAGGUAACGGCCACCAAGGCAACGAUCAGUAGCCGGCCUGAGAGGGUGAACGGCCACAUUGGGACUGAGACACGGCCCAAACGUCCUACGGGAGGCCA
rnacentral:rRNA from 1 species